rnacentral:rRNA from 1 species
GAUGAACGCUGGCGGCGUGCCUAAUACAUGCAAGUCGAGCGAAAAGAUGAGGAGCUUGUGCCUUUGACGUUAGCGGAGGGCGGGUGAGUAACGCGUGGAUCACGUCCCUAUAUGUCUGGGAUAAUUUCGGGAAACCGGAGAUAAUACGAGAUAAUAUAUUGAACCGUGUGGGGCAAUAGAAAAAGUCGGCUGUGCUGGAUCGACUAGCUGCUUAUGAGCUGUUUGAGCUGGUUGGUAGGGUCAAGGCUUACCAAGGCGACGAUGCGUAACCGAGCGGAGAGAGUGAUCGGCCACACUGGAACGGAGACACGGACCAGACUACUACGAGAGGCAGCAGUAUGGAAUCGUCCGCAAUGGGCGAAAGUCUUACGGAGCAACCCCGCGUGUGUGAUGAAGGUCUUCUGAUCGUAAAGCCCUGUUAUUGGGUAAGAACAAAUGUGGAAUGAGAUAUGGACGUCUUGACGGUACCUAAUCAGAAAGCCCCGGCUAACUACGUG